AAUGUUCCCCAUUACUAGAGUCGGAGAAGACAGGAGCUGUGCAUGGAUUGACCUCAGAGAGAGAGAGACAGAGAGAAAAGUGUGUGUGUGUGUGUGUGUGUUUGUGUGUACAGUUUGCGUCUUUUCUUCAGCUGCUACAUGUUUGCCCAGAGUGAAAGAGAGAGAGACACGAAGAGAAAGAGAAAGAGAAUGCAUUUUCUCCUGUAGAGCAAAAACAAGAAAGACACCUGGAGUACAAAGUGAGAGGCAGGUAGAUAGAGACGAAGCUGAAGCUGUGUGUUGGAGGUGUGUGUGUGUGUGUGUGUGUUUGUUUCUGUUUGUGUGUGAGACCAGCAAGCCUGUGUGUGAAGGGAAACUAGUGGAUCGUAAAGCUCUGUAAUGCUUUGGGGAAGUACAGGACUGCUAACUGACCUGAUUACACCCUGAGGUGAAGAAAUCACACAGUGAAUCUCAUGUUCCAGACCCUUCAGACGCCAGGUCUAUGGAAAUGCAGGACCUAGCCAGUCCUCAUAACCGUGUGGGAGGUGGAGAUUCGACAGGCUCCAAGCUGGACAAGAACAACCUUGGCAGCCCCUCCAUCACCACCAAUGGAACAGGAGGUGAAAACAUGACAGUUCUAAACACGGCUGAUUGGCUGUUGGGCUGCAGCAGCCCGCCCCCUCCCCCGGGCUCCAAGGACUAUGUGAAAACAGAGCCUAUGAACAACAGCGAUACAGUCACUACGACAGGCGACACAGUAUUGGACACAUACGCAGGCUCAGUAAUCACCAGCAGCGGGUACAGCCCUCGUUCAGCCCACCAGUACUCCCCUCCCCUCUACCCAUCAAAGCCCUACCCUCACAUUCUCUCCACACCGGCAGCCCCUCCCAUGCCGACGUACGCCGGUCAGCCCCAGUUCAGCAGUAUGCAGCAGUCCACCGUCUACACUGCUUACUCCCAGACAGGACAGCCGUACGGACUGUCAACCUAUGACCUUGGUGUGAUGCUGCCGGGCAUUAAGACAGAGAGUGGCCUGGCUCAGAGUCAGUCUCCUCUGCAGACAGGCCUCAGCUACAGCCCCAGCUUCACCACGCCUCAGCCCGGACAAACUGCAUACUCACCCUAUCAGAUGCCAGGUUCCAGUUUCACUCCUUCCUCAGGCCUCUAUGCCACCAACAACUCAGUGUCCAACCCCGCCAACUACACUGCCACACAGCAGGAAUAUCCCUCAUAUACAACGUUUGGCCAAAACCAGUAUGCCCAGUAUUAUUCCGCCUCCACUUACGGGACUUAUAUGACCUCCAACAGCGUGGAUGGCACAGGAUCCACGGCAGCCUACCAGCUGCAAGAUCCCGCCCCUGCCAUGACCGGACAGGCUGCUGAACUUCACCCAGGGGACUUCGAUACAGUGCAGAGCCCCUCCACACCCAUCAAAGAGCUGGAUGACCGAGCAUGCCGGAGUGGGGGGUCCAAGUCCCGGGGCAGAGGUCGCAAGAACAACCCCUCCCCUCCCCCUGAUAGUGACCUGGAGAGGGUGUUUGUGUGGGAUCUGGAUGAGACAAUCAUUGUCUUCCAUUCUCUGCUCACGGGCUCCUACGCACAGAAAUAUGGCAAGGACCCUCCUAUGGCGGUAACGCUGGGUCUGAGGAUGGAGGAGAUGAUCUUCAACUUGGCGGACACACACUUGUUCUUUAAUGACCUGGAGGAGUGUGAUCAGGUACAUAUUGAUGAUGUGUCAUCAGACGACAAUGGACAGGACUUAAGUACUUACAGUUUUGCAACUGAUGGCUUCCAUGCAGCUGCAACCAGCGCCAACUUGUGCCUGGCUACGGGUGUCCGCGGCGGGGUCGACUGGAUGAGGAAACUGGCCUUCCGCUACCGACGAGUCAAAGAGUUGUAUAGCACAUACAAAAACAAUGUGGGGGGUCUGCUGGGUCCUGCUAAAAGAGAUGCCUGGCUGCAGCUGAGAGCAGAGGUGGAGGCUCUGACUGACUCCUGGCUCACCCACGCACUCAAGUCCCUGUCCAUCAUCAGCUCCAGGAGUAACUGUGUAAAUGUGUUGGUGACCACAACGCAGCUCAUACCAGCGCUGGCUAAAGUUCUCUUAUAUAGUCUGGGGUCUGUUUUCCCUGUCGAGAACAUUUACAGUGCAACCAAAAUAGGCAAAGAGAGCUGUUUUGAGCGUAUAGUCUCCCGCUUUGGCACUAACAUUACAUAUGUUGUGGUUGGCGAUGGGAAGGAUGAAGAGCAUGCGGCCAGCCAGGUAAACAAACAAUUUCUGAACUCUGACCCCUCUGACCAUGUGACCCUCCUUCCUUCCUCCCCUUGUUUAUUUGUUUUUUUGCAGGAAAAGAGAGUUGCUUUGAACGCAUAAUGCAAAGGUUUGGCAGGAAAGUAGUGUAUGUUGUAAUUGGGGACGGUGUGGAAGAGGAGCAGGCGGCCAAAAAGCACAACAUGCCUUUCUGGAGGAUAUCCAGUCACUCUGACCUGCUGGCACUACACCAAGCACUGGAGUUUGAGUACCUGUAACUAUUCUAGCAAUAUGGACUCAUGCAAUGUUACCAUGGACAUGGUCAGCCAGGCAGCCCCCCCUUCUUUUGUAUAACUAUUUAAGAACAAACAAUACACUGCAACUGUUUUUGUGAUUUUAUUUUUGUCUUGUUUUUUGAACGUCUGGAUUUACAAACUCUGAACGGUCUUAAGAAGCAAAAGGAGAGGUGAAAAGGAGGUAAAGAAAAGAACAGUGGGGUUAAGAGACGACUCAACUAUAUCCAGCUCAGCCCCCCACCCCAUCCACCCCCGUGCCCUUGAUGCUGGGAAGGGACCGCUGUGAAAAUCCUGUCUACUGUCCUUGCAGCUGUAGCAGACUGAAAGCCUGUAAAGGCUAAAAGACCUCCCUCGGCCUGGGAGGAUGUUUCUUUGGGCAACUCCUUGAUGUUUGGUUUGUUCUGGAGCACCCAGGCUAGUAUCAGGCCUGUUGUGGGUCACCUGGGACGAACUAUCUUCAAACAAUGAGGGCCUCUCUGUACGGGCAGCAUUAUGUGUGCGGGGUUAACGGCUGCUUUUUUAAAGUGUUUUCUUCCUGGUGGUAUAAUCACAACACAACAAUGCAGUCUGUGGCAGAAACUUGUAAAUUAUUUACAAUAAACUUAAAGGGCAGUGGUGGAUGUUUUUGUCAAGGAAAGGAAAUUCAUUUUUGGGUCUUUUUUUCCUCUCUGGAUUUUUGUAAUUUUGGGGUGGGGUGGGGGGAAUGAGGAUGUGCGUCAUGAUGUGUUGUGCCUUAAUGUGUUUGAAUGUCUUUUCUUUAUUCAGAAAUGUCUAUGUAUGUAGAUAUAAAGGAGAAAACUUAUCCAAAUGA